rnacentral:lncRNA from 1 species
GGAAUCUGGAAUUCGGUCUCUGAGAGCCGGGGGCUGUUUGAACUUGGCUGGGUGCUCCCCCGCACCGUUUUGUUAAGCGGCCGCUUCCCACUUGUCGGAGUUUCUGCUUCUUUCGCUUUCCUCCAGUCUCUUGGCAUAAUGUUUUCCAUGGUGAUACGAUGUCUCCUGUUCAUCACACCAAACCUCAUGAAAGACCCAAACUGGGCUGGUCUUCAGUGUCUUCCCUGAGGAUAGUCAUCGUGAGGGGACCACAGCAGGAGAACACGGUGAAGAAAACAAUGGAGCAUUUUACUAAAAGUGACUGAGAAUAGAGUGCCAAGGAGAAGGGAAACCUGAAUUUGCAUGGAAGGAUAAAACAAUAAUGCUGACUAAGCGCCUCACCUCCUACCGUCCACAUGAGGUACACAAGAAAUGUUUGUGGUGUGAAGAACUCACCAGUCUCAAUAGAAUUGGGGUCAAAUGCCAAGAUUCUCAAGGAGAGAAGGGAACCAGAGGAUGACAAAUUUAGACACAAUAAGCCCAUGGAAGAAGCAAAAGGCAACUUCAUGAAUUAGAGACGAUUUGAGGUGGUUUCCCAGGAUUGAGUCCACAGAUGUUGACCAUCCACUGAAAUUGAAGAGUAGAGACAGAGCACAAGUCAUGUGGAUAUGGCAUGUGUGGACCUCUUCACAGAGAGAACUAAAGAAGUAUGAAGCUUAAAAAUAGUUCCA